rnacentral:pre_miRNA from 1 species
GUUGUACUCCCUCCGUUCCGAAUUACUUGUCGCAGGUAUGGAUGUAUCUAGAUGUAUUUUAGUUCUACAUACAUUCAUUUCUGCGACGAGUAAUUUGGAGCGGAAGGAUACAUA